AUGGCAGGCACGGUGCUGAGCAUGGCGAGGUCCAUCAUGGGUGGCGCCAUUAGCAAGGCCGCCUCUGCGGCUGCGGAUGAGAUGAGCCUCCUCAUGGGUGUGCGCAAGGAUAUCUGGUUCAUCAAAGAUGAGCUGGCAACAAUGCAGGCUUUCCUGGUGGCUGCUGAAGCAAUGCAGGAGAAAGACAUGCUACUUAAGGUGUGGGCAGAACAAGUAAGGGAUUUGUCAUACAACAUUGAAGAUUGCCUUGGUGAAUUCAUGGUGCAUGUGGCAAGUCAAUUCUUGUCGCAGAAGCUGAUGAAGCUCAAAGACCGCCAUCGAAUCGCCAUGCAGAUCCGUGACCUCAAAUCAAGAGUUGAAGAAGUCAGUUGCAGGAACACACGCUACAACCUGGUUGAGAAGAACCAACUCACUAGAAGCAUUGAUGAGAGGGAUUGUUGCUGGGAAGAUAUCCGGAAUCAAUCAGCUAGCAACAUCAAUGAAGCUAACCUUGUGGGGUUUUCCAAGCCCAAGCAAGAGUUAAUAGAGCUUAUUGAUGUCCAUGCAAACCAUGGCCCCGCUCGGGUAGUAUGUGUGGUUGGCAUGGGUGGUUUGGGUAAGACUACUCUUACGAAGAAGGUUUAUGAAAGCAUGGAAAACUUUGCAUGUUGUGCUUGGAUCACUGUUUCCCAGUCAUUUGUCAGGAUGGAGCUUCUCAAAGUUAUGAUCAGAGAACUUUUUGGUGAUGAAGCAUUGGAGAAGCAACUUGAAGGGAAUGAAGUGCGAGAAGAGAACCUCGCCAACUAUCUCAGGCAAGAGUUGCUUGAGAAGAGGUACUUUGUUGUUCUUGAUGAUCUAUGGAACUUAGAUCACUGGAAGUGGAUAAAAACUGUUGCUUUUCCUAGUAGUAACAACAAAGGUAGUCGUAUAAUGAUAACUACACGAGAUGUUGGCUUAGCUAAGGAUUGUACUUUGGAAUCUUCUAGAUCACUUAUCUACCGCCAUGAACCCUUACAAACAAAGGAUGCCAUAAAAUUGCUAUUGAGGAAGACCAGGAAGUGUGAGGAAGAUAUGAAAAAUGAUGAUAACAUGAGGAAAAUAGUUACUAAGAUAGUGAAAAAGUCUGGACGGUUGCCCCUAGCCAUACUCACAAUAGGUGGCAUACUUGCCACGAGAAUGGUUAGUGAUUGGAAAAUUGUUUAUGAUCAGAUUCCCUUAGAGUUGGAGAGCAACCGAAGCCUUGAAGCAAUCAGGAGGAUGGUUACUCUGAGUUACAAUUAUUUGCCUUCUCAUCUUAAGUCAUGUUUUCUGUAUCUAAGCAUAUUUCCCAAGGAUUUUGAAAUCAAGAGGAGGCGGCUGGUGGAAAGAUGGAUAGCCGAGGGGUUUAUUCGCACCAUUCGUGGAGUGAGUGCUGAGGAUAUUGGAAAUAGUUACUUUAAUGAACUGAUCAACCGUAGCUUGAUUCAACCAUCAAGAGUGAACGUAGAAGGGAUUGUGAAGAGUUGCAGAGUACAUGAUAUCGUUCGCGAUGUCAUGAUCUCAAUUUCUAGUGAUGAAAAUUUUGCAUGCUCAACAUGUGAAAAUGUAGCCGGCAUAGCAGGGGAUAACUUCCGUCAUGUAUCAUUGCAAGGAUGUUGGUUCCCAAAUAAAGGCUUAGAUUGGAACCAUCUCCGGUCAUUAACUGUGUUUGGUGAGAGACCGAUGAAGCCGGCACCUUCAGUUUGUUCGCCUGGCUUUCGGAUGCUUAGAGUCUUGGAUCUACAAGAUGCCCAGUUCGGAAGGACACAAAAAGAGAUCGACGAUAUAGGGUUGUUACAUCAUUUGAAAUAUGUCAAUGUUAACCCUUCUUUUAAAAGUUUGUCAUUUAUUUACCAGCUGCCAAAAUCUAUUGGGAAACUUCAAGGCUUGCAAACUUUGGACAUAAGAAGGAGUUUUGUCACAUCACUACCAGCUGAAAUAACUAAACUACAAAGCCUUCGUAGCCUCCGAUGCAGCAACAUA
rnacentral:rRNA from 1 species